AUGCAUAGCCACAUGUUCAAGGGCGUUGAUGAGGACAUCAAUACCAUUGUUACACCCACAACCCCUACUGCUACAUAUACUGGAUCAAUUACUAGAGCUCGCGCACGCCAAUUAAAUUAUCAGGUACUUCCGUUUCUUGGUAAUGAUUCUAAUGUUCAUGAGAAUAUAAUGUUGCCUAAAUUGGAUAGAUUUCUUUUGCUUACAAACGAAGGGCCUGGCAUGGAUAAGAGGGAUGAACACUGGAGCAAGACCAAGCAUGAAGAUGAUGGCAUGCACAAGGGGAACAAGAACGGAGUUGCAAGUGAUGAUUUCAGGACUUUGAAACCACCAUAA
rnacentral:rRNA from 1 species